UGGGGGAUCGUCUAACGGCAGGACACAUCUUUUUGGAGGAUGGUAUCGGGGUCCGAAUCCCUGUCCCCCAG
rnacentral:tRNA from 2 species